UGUCAUGGGCCUUGUACACACAUAAAGUCUGACGGUUACGCCGCGUGAGUGAUGAAGGUUUUCGGAUCGUAAAGCUCUGUUGUUAGGGAAGAACAAGUGCGAGAGUAACUGCUCGCACCUUGACGGUACCUAACCAGAAAGCCACGGCUAACUACGUGCCAGCAGCCGCGGUAAUACGUAGGUGGCAAGCGUUGUCCGGAAUUAUUGGGCGUAAAGGGCUCGCAGGCGGUUUCUUAAGUCUGAUGUGAAAGCCCCCGGCUCAACCGGGGAGGGUCAUUGGAAACUGGGAAACUUGAGUGCAGAAGAGGAGAGUGGAAUUCCACGUGUAGCGGUGAAAUGCGUAGAGAUGUGGAGGAACACCAGUGGCGAAGGCGACUCUCUGGUCUGUAACUGACGCUGAGGAGCGAAAGCGUGGGGAGCGAACAGGAUUAGAUACCCUGGUAGUCCACGCCGUAAACGAUGAGUGCUAAGUGUUAGGGGGUUUCCGCCCCUUAGUGCUGCAGCUAACGCAUAUAAGCACCUCCCGCCCUAGGGAGUACGGGUCCCCCAGAACUGAAAACUCAAAGGAAUUUUACGGGGGGGCCCCCCACAAGCCGGU
rnacentral:rRNA from 1 species